AUGCACAUGACUGAAGUCCUUCCACAAGGACCUAGGAGUCAAACCAAGGAACAAGAGGGUCCCCAAGGGGGGAUACCCCAUGUGGCCGGCCACACCCCCCUGAGGGGCCCAAAAAAUGGUUCCUAUCCAUCCAUGUCAUCCCCAAGAUCUUUUGGAGCAAAGCCCCAAAAGGUGGCUUUCCAUAAACAAAUCAGGCCUGCUCUCCUAAAAAAAUCUAUUGGGCCUGAACUCAAAAGCCCCACUACCUUCCUGCUCGCCGGCCAGAGCUCCUCGGAGGGAGGUUGCUUCCUAUGUCUCGUGAUGUCAAGUGGACACAAUAAGAGAGAGAGAGAGAUCUGCUGGUGGAUAAGAGAGAACACGAGCUAUUGGCUCUCGGCGGGGUCCACGGAACCUGAAGUGAACCCGGGGCUGAGCUCGUACGCCGGGCGGCCCCAGGAGGCCGCCAAGUCGAUCGAACCUCUGCUCGAGAAGGCCGAGAGCGUUGUGCCUGGGUCGCUCAUGAACAGAACACCCCUUAAACUAGGGGCGACGGCUGGACUCAGACUCAUAGGAGACGCCCAGGCCGAGCAAAUUCUUGAAGCCGUCAGGGGUGUUGUCCACACCAAGAGCAAAUUUCAGUAUAAUCCUAGUUGGAUCAAUGUUCUCGAGGGAUCUCAGGAAGGAUCUUACUUAUGGGUUGCUCUAAACUAUCUGUUGGGUAAACUGGGAGGAGAGUACGCCAAGACGAUAGGUGUAAUUGACCUUGGAGGUGGGUCCGUGCAAAUGGCAUAUGCCAUUUCUGCAGAUGCUGCUGCUGCCGCUCUCAUAAUUAAGGAUCCCUACUUGCACUACGGCGCAAUGGCUGCUCGAGGAGAGAUCUUCAAGGCAAAGAAUGGACCUAUCAGCUACUGCAUGCUGCGCGGAUUCAUUGGUAACGCAAAUUACACAUGCAUGAACACCUUCCUACUUUGGUUGAGUAAAUACACUUACAACGGAGAUAAGUACGACGCGGUCGCCUCGCCAACGGGAGCAGCAGAUGACAAGUGCAGAGAUGAUGUGACCAAAGCACUAAAGCUGAGCGCACCUUGUGAAGCAAAUAACUGUACCUUCAAUGGCGCGGGGAACGGCGGCGGUGGUGCCGGCCAGGCCGACCUCUACGCAAGCUCAAGUUUCUGCUACAUGGCAUCAAGGGUUGGAUUGAUCGACAGCAAGGCUACCAGCAGGAAGACAACCCCUGCGGCAUACAGGGCCGCCGCCGAGAAGAUUUGCCUGUUUAGCUUGGAGGAAGCAAAGGCUUCGUACCCAAGGGCCCGAGCCACCGACGUGCCCUACAUUUGCAUGGACCUCGUCUACCAGUACUCCCUGCUCAUGGAUGGAUUCGGUAAGCAGCUACAUACAUUAUUAUUCAGUCUUCUUGGAUGCAUCGAUGGAUCUUAG
rnacentral:rRNA from 1 species